rnacentral:rRNA from 1 species
AGCGAACGCUGGCGGCAGGCUUAACACAUGCAAGUCGAGCGGGCGUAGCAAUACGUCAGCGGCAGACGGGUGAGUAACACGUGGGAACGUGCCCUUCGGUUCGGAACAACCCAGGGAAACUUGGGCUAAUACCGGAUACGCCCUUACGGGGAAAGAUUUAUCGCCGAAGGAUCGGCCCGCGUCUGAUUAGCUAGUUGGUGAGGUAACGGCUCACCAAGGCGACGAUCAGUAGCUGGUCUGAGAGGAUGAUCAGCCACACUGGGACUGAGACACGGCCCAGACUCCUACGGGAGGCAGCAGUGGGGAAUAUUGGACAAUGGGCGAAAGCCUGAUCCAGCCAUGCCGCGUGAAUGAUGAAGGUCUUAGGAUUGUAAAAUUCUUUCACCGGGGACGAUAAUGACGUUACCCGGAGAAGAAGCCCCGGCUAACUUCGUGCCAGCAGCCGCUGUAA